CGAGGCGCUGGCCGAGGUCGCCGCGACGGCGCUCGCCGCGGCGACGCCGGGCGCCCCGGUGGCGCUCGCCGGCUCGCUGCCGGCGGGCCUCGCCC
rnacentral:tRNA from 2 species